GAUGAACGCUAGCUACAGGCUUAACACAUGCAAGUCGAGGGGCAGCGGGAUUGAAGCUUGCUUCAAUUGCCGGCGACCGGCGCACGGGUGAGUAACGCGUAUCCAACCUUCCGUACACUCAGGGAUAGCCUUUCGAAAGAAAGAUUAAUACCUGAUGGUAUGAUGAGAUUGCAUGAUAGCAUCAUUAAAGAUUUAUCGGUGUACGAUGGGGAUGCGUUCCAUUAGGUAGUAGGCGGGGUAACGGCCCACCUAGCCGACGAUGGAUAGGGGUUCUGAGAGGAAGGUCCCCCACAUUGGAACUGAGACACGGUCCAAACUCCUACGGGAGGCAGCAGUGAGGAAUAUUGGGUCAAUGGACGAGAGUCUGAACCAGCCAAGUAGCGUGAAGGAUGAAGGUCCUACGGAUUGUAAACUUCUUUAUAAGGGAAUAAACCCUCCACGUGUGGGAGCUUGUAUGUACCUUAUGAAUAAGCAUCGG
rnacentral:rRNA from 1 species